rnacentral:rRNA from 1 species
AUUCGUAGGAGGAAUGAUUCGCCCAACUGGACUGGAGAAACUGGCAGUCUACGAGCAGCAAUUGGGAAUUGACAUGGGGCCAACCUUGAUCCAGGCCAUGCGCUGCCGGAGGAAGGCUUCGGGUAGUAAACGCUUACGAACGAAAGAAAUCGCGCAGCUAAUAUCCUGUGUGGAUGACGGUACCGUAAGAAGAAGCACCGCUAACUACGUGCCAGCAGCCGCGGUAAUAACGUAGGGUGCGAGCGUUAAUCGGAAUUACUGGGCGUAAAGCGUGCGCAGGCGGAUAUUUAAGUCAGACGUGAAAUCCCCGGGCUUAACCUGGGAAUUGCGUUUGAAACUGGAUAUCUAGAGUGCGUCAGAGGGGGGUGGAAAUCCACGUGUAGCAGUGAAAUGCGUAGAGAUGUGGAGGAACACCGAUGGCGAAGGCAGCCCCCUGGGAUGACACUGACGCUCAUGCACGAAAGCGUGGGGAGCAAACAGGAUUAGAUACCCUGGUAGUCCACGCUGUAAACGAUGAUUACUCGCUGUUGGCGAUACACAGUCAGUGGCUAAGCGAAAGUGAUAAGUAAUCCACCUGGGGAGUACGACGGCAACGUUGAAACUCAAAGGAAUUGACGGGGGCCCGCACAAGCGGAGGAGCAUGUGGUUUAAUUCGAUGAUACGCGAGGAACCUUACCAGGGCUAGAACGCAAGUUGAUUAUGUGCGAAAGUAUAUAUCUCUUCGGAGCAAUUUGCGAGGUGCUGCAUGGUUGUCGUCAGCUCGUGCCGUGAGGUGUCAGGUUAAGUCCUAUAACGAGCGCAACCCCUACUCUUAGUUGCCAGCAUGUGAUGAUGGGGACUCUAAGAGAACUGCCUACGCAAGUAGAGAGGAAGGUGGGGAUGACGUCAAAUCAGCACGGCCCUUAUGUCCUGGGCUACACACGUGCUACAAUGGUCGGUACAGAGGGCAGCUACCUGGUGACAGGAUGCUAAUCUCAAAAGCCGGUCUCAGUUCGGAUCGGAGUCUGCAACUCGACUCCGUGAAGUUGGAUUCGCUAGUAAUCGCGCAUCAGCCAUGGCGCGGUGAAUACGUUCCCGGGCCUUGUACACACCGCCCGUCAAGCCAUGGAAGCUGGGGGUACCUAAAGUCCGUAACCGUAAGGAGCGGCCUAGGGUAAAACUAGUGACUGGGGCUAAGUCGUAACAAGGUAGCCGU